rnacentral:rRNA from 1 species
UGGGGAAUAUUGCACAAUGGGGGAAACCCUGAUGCAGCGACGCCGCGUGAGCGAAGAAGUAUCUCGGUAUGUAAAGCUCUAUCAGCAGGGAAGAAGAUGACGGUACCUGACUAAGAAGCACCGGCUAAAUACGUGCCAGCAGCCGCGGUAAUACGUAUGGUGCAAGCGUUAUCCGGAUUUACUGGGUGUAAAGGGAGCGUAGACGGAGAAGCAAGUCUGGAGUGAAAACCCGGGGCUCAACCCCGGGACUGCUUUGGAAACUGUUUUUCUGGAGUGCCGGAGAGGUAAGCGGAAUUCCUAGUGUAGCGGUGAAAUGCGUAGAUAUUAGGAGGAACACCAGUGGCGAAGGCGGCUUACUGGACGGUAACUGACGUUGAGGCUCGAAAGCGUGGGGAGCAAACA